rnacentral:rRNA from 1 species
AACGCGAAGAACCUUACCUGGGCUCGAAGCGCAGUGGACCGGGGUAGAAAUAUCCCUUCCUCGCAAGAGGCUGCUGCGGAGGUGCUGCAUGGCUGUCGUCAGCUCGUGUCGUGAGAUGUUGGGUUAAGUCCCGCAACGAGCGCAACCCUUAUCCCUAGUUGCCAUCGGGUCAAGCCGGGCACUCUAGUGAAACCGCCCAGGAUAACGGAGAGGAAGGUGGGGAUGACGUCAAGUCAGCACGGCCUUUAUGUCCAGGGCUACACACGUGUUACAAUGCAUGGUACAAACCGUCGCGAACCUGCGAAGGGGAGCUAAUCGGAAAAACCAUGCUCAGUUCGGAUUGCAGUCUGCAACUCGACUGCAUGAAGCCGGAAUCGCUAGUAAUGGCGUAUCAGAACGACGCCGUGAAUACGUUCCCGGGCCUUGUACACAGACUGUAC